GGCCACAUCACGUUGAGACACCUGUUCCCUUACGAUCACCAAAGUUAAGCAAGAUCGAACCAGGUCAGUACCUAGAUGGGUGACCGCUUGGCAAUAACAGGUGCU